rnacentral:rRNA from 1 species
UACAGAGGUCUCAAGCGUUGUUCGGAUUCAUUGGGCGUAAAGGGUGCGUAGGCGGCGCGGUAAGUCGGGUGUGAAAUCUCGGAGCUUAACUCCGAAACUGCAUUCGAUACUGCCGUGCUUGAGGACUGGAGAGGAGACUGGAAUUUACGGUGUAGCGGUGAAAUGCGUAGAUAUCGUAAGGAAGACCAGUGGCGAAGGCGGGUCUCGUGGACAGUUCCUGACGCUGGAGGCACGAAGGCCAGGGGAGCAAACGGG